CUGCCUUGCCCGUUGGAGUUGGGUCCACUCAUUCGGUGAGGAAAUUGGCAUGGGCUGGAAUGGGGAUUCAAUCACCGUGGGGCAAUUUGUAGGGUGGGAUGGGAUUGCUCUUAAGGCGGGCAAGGGAUCAAUACCGUAUACUGCGCUGGUAUACGAAAAGAACAGAUAGGAAGACGCUCUUUCUCUCCGUCUCAGUCUCAUAUCCGACGACAGACCGAGCAACCAGGGUUUAUUUGGCAACCAACGAACGAGUGAAGGCGAACACAGGCUCGAUCUCAUCGAUUAGUGCAUUGCAGAGGUAAUCGAUGGAGGCUGCUGGCGAUAUCAGUGCUCGCAAGGGAGUUACGGUUGGUGCUGUGUCCGCCCUUGUUUCCCAAUAUAACAAACUAUCAGUGUGUAACACCUCGGAGCAUCUCAUAAGUACUAGAAACUCUACGGGCAAGGAGGAGGACGAGGAUGCACAUCAACCGAGCUAUAAGGCUAAGAAGAAGAACAGAUAUCUGGCUGCCAAAAAGCCGGCCUAUCGUUCACCAAACAAGAACAAGGCGGCCUAUCAAUUUCCCGCUAUGCCACCAUGGCCAUGGCCAGUUGCUGAGGACAUGCCUGUUGAUGAAACCCCCUUUCCCGAAUGUCUCUACCUUUUGACUGAUGGUGAUGGUCGCAAGAUUGCAUUAUCUGAUGAGCCUUUUGACUUGGAAGAUUUUUAUAUGCUGAUCUAGAGAAGGCCGAUGCCAGGACGAGGGAGUACCUGAUCUGGAGGGAGGAGGAGAGGGAGAAGGAGAAGGAGGCUAAGUGCAGAAAGCCGCGAGGAACGAGGCUAGGAAAAAGGCGGGCCAUAAUUCGGGGUCUGGCGAAGUGACCCUACCCUUGAAGUAGGUAGGAGGAGAUUGUGUAACUUCUAUGGAUCGACACAAGGACUUGUCAAGGAGGUAGUCACUUCUAGCUAAGAUAUGUAAUAAGUGUUUUUACUUGUUCGUACUGUAUUUUCGGAACAAUUUGUAAUGUUGACGUUAAGUGUAUAUUCGAUAGCAUCUAUGCCUCAAAUUAUUUA